GACGAACGCUGGCGGCGUGCUUAACCACAUGCAAGUCGAACGGAAAGGCCCUGCUUUUGUGGGGUGCUCGAGUGGCGAACGGGUGAGUAACACGUGAGUAACCUGCCCUUGACUUUGGGAUAACUUCAGGAAACUGGGGCUAAUACCGGAUAGGAGCUCCUGCUGCAUGGUGGGGGUUGGAAAGUUUCGGCGGUUGGGGAUGGACUCGCGGCUUAUCAGCUUGUUGGUGGGGUAGUGGCUUACCAAGGCUUUGACGGGUAGCCGGCCUGAGAGGGUGACCGGCCACAUUGGGACUGAGAUACGGCCCAGACUCCUACGGGAGGCAGCAGUGGGGAAUAUUGCACAAUGGGCGGAAGCCUGAUGCAGCAACGCCGCGUGCGGGAUGACG
rnacentral:rRNA from 1 species